rnacentral:lncRNA from 1 species
UUGGUCAACAUUAUAGUAGAUUAUUAGCUUUAGGUAACCAUGUAAAUCCAAAUCCAUUCCCCCACCCCGCCACCACCCCAAAGUAAGGACUGGAAAAUCUUGGAUGCUGUGCACGUGGAUGUUAGUUAAUACAAAGGAGGAAGAAAAUCAGCUAGUCAAAUUUGAUGUGCUUGAUAAAGAUGGUCAGAGUCAAAGGAGGAAACCAGAGGUUCAAUCCGUUUGAUGAUGGCAACUUGAUCAUGAUCUAUAGGCGGCUAUGCAUCAACGAUAGUAGGGUAGGUUAUUCUGGCAUGUUUAGAAUGCAGUACUCGAUUUUUUUGUUCUUUGUCUUGCAUGAUUAAAAUACAGUAUUCUUAUGUGGAACAAGAGAAUAUGAUUUGUUAUAUCAAACUUCUUUGUAGUUAUGCCAAGAUUUUAUAUUAGUCCAAGAUCAAGAUUUGUCACUAUUUUCACAAUUAUUAAGGCAAUAUACGACAUUGACAUCCUCGAUAUAAUCGUGUAAGCAUAAGAGAGAAUGAAAGUGAUCAUUGAAGGAUCCUGAAAAGUUAUCUCCUAC